rnacentral:lncRNA from 1 species
UUCCUCUUAAAAAGCAAAUAAUAAUCAAAAUAAUAAAUAAUAAAAAUAAGACAGCUUUUAGGAGAACAUUUUUUUAAAGUACAAAGCUAAAUUAAAUAACAAAAAAGCCAAUUGUGGCUGGAAAAUAAUAUGGGUAAAAUUAAAGUAAUAACUACUACAAGUUACAUCACCAAAAAUUAUUAAAUUAAUAAUGAAAAUAGCAACAUUCAGCUUUUGAAAAUAAGCUAGCCACAUCAAUGUACUUUCGAGAUUGAUCCAGCCAUACCAUUGCACUUUCCUGUAUUACCAAACAAUAACAAUGUACUUUUAAUUACUAGCUAGCAAUAGCUUUGCACUUACCUGAAGCAAACCACAAAAAUCAUAUACAAAGCUAAAAAUUUCGAGCCAAAGAGAGGAGGAAUAAUAGCUCAAACAGAGGGGAAAUCAGAUACCAAAAUCCAAUAGGUCUUUAAAAGACUUUGAUUUUUUUUUUUUUUUUCGUAAUAAAAAAGAGAAGAAAUAAAGCAGAUUUUUGAAACAAACCUAAAUAAGUAGAUUUCGAACUCAAAGAGAGAAGAAAUCGAGUCUAAUAAAACAUGAACAACCAUAAACGACAAGAAACAAUCUGAUUUCCGAAACAAAUAACAAAAACCCUAAACAUAAAUCACAUCAGAAAUUAGAAUGAGAAGUCAGAAUAAGAGAAAUUCAACCCACCCAAAUUAGAAUCGUUGUAUCAGAAUCACAAUAUCUCGGACCUAGAAGGCUUGAACCGAGAUCUUUUAACCAGAUUAGAAAUAUCAGAAAUCACAAACUAGAACUUGAAAACUAUAGAAAUUGGAGUAUUUAGAAACCAAAAAUCAGAGAAAUUGACUGAAAGCGAAAAAUACAAAUGCCACAUCUUACUUUUAUUUAUAGGAGACGCAACUUCUAGGCAUCCAAUCGACAACAUGUUUCCAAGUGUCGAAAGACGUUUCGAUUUUCUAUGGGAAAUUGAAGACGAUUAGUGGUUGUUUGGCGCUAAGUUUUCAUUGCCCUGCUCCUCCUCAAGUAUUAUUCUAUCAGAUAACAAAGACAUGUUUGGGCCAUAU